CCUACGGGGGGCAGCAGUGGGGAAUAUUGGACAAUGGGGGGAACCCUGAUCCAGCCAUGCCGCGUGUGUGAAGAAGGCCCUCGGGUUGUAAAGCACUUUCAGUGAGGAAGAACGCCUGGUGGUUAAUACCCAUCAGGAAAGACAUCACUCACAGAAGAAGCACCGGCUAACUCCGUGCCAGCAGCCGCGGUAAUACGGAGGGUGCGAGCGUUAAUCGGAAUUACUGGGCGUAAAGCGCGCGUAGGUGGCUUGAUAAGCCGGUUGCGAAAGCCCCGGGCUCAACCUGGGAACGGCAUCCGGAACUGUCAAGCUAGAGUGCAGGAGAGGAAGGUAGAAUUCCCGGUGUAGCGGUGAAAUGCGUAGAGAUCGGGAGGAAUACCAGUGGCGAAGGCGGCCUUCUGGACUGACACUGACACUGAGGUGCGAAAGCGUGGGUAGCAAACAGGAUUAGAUACCCCAGUAGUC
rnacentral:rRNA from 1 species